UUCCACUCCACUAAUUCCACUACACCAAACUUUCCACCUACUCCCUUCCCCACCACACGCAAGAAUGCAUCUAACAUUCCAUUAUACAGGCAACAAUCUUUUCAUCAUCUUCAUUCUUCACUAAGGAACCGAAGAGCAGCCACGAGUUCUGCCAUAAGUACACUGCUCCGGCAGUGUUUUGCAAGGCGAUUCCAGCCAUCCAAAAGGUCCGGGCGACAGAAAGUGAAGCCGAAGAAGAAACGACUCCACGCCAGCUUUAAGAACAAUUGAGGUUGAGCUGUGAUGGGCGAUGAAGUGUUGCUGAGUGGAGUUUUUGUCGAACUUAAAGUAGGCUCAGAAAGGAUACAUGUCUUCAUACAUGUAUCACAGUUAUGCUUUCCGCUGUAAACACUGAUUAUUUCAGUUACGCCUUCCGUUGCAAACUCUGAUAAUGUUUUAGCCAAGCCCCUAAUGAUGCCUUUUUCCUUUUAAGGAAUAUAACGCGUAUACAAGUUCUUUGAGUA